rnacentral:rRNA from 1 species
UACAGAGGGUGCGAGCGUUAAUCGGAAUUACUGGGCGUAAAGCGUGCGCAGGCGGUUCGUUGUGUCGGUGGUGAAAUCCCCGGGCUUAACCUGGGAGUGGCCAUGGAAACUGGCGAACUGGAGUGCGGCAGAGGGGGGUGGAAUUCCGCGUGUAGCAGUGAAAUGCGUAGAGAUGCGGAGGAACACCGAUGGCGAAGGCAGCCCCCUGGGCUAGCACUGACGCUCAGGCACGAAAGCGUGGGGAGCAAACAGG